GUACGGUCGCAAGAUUAAAACUCAAAUGAAUUGACGGGGGCCCGCACAAGCGGUGGAGCAUGUGGUUUAAUUCGAUGCAACGCGAAGAACCUUACCUACUCUUGACAUCCAGAGAACUUUCCAGAGAUGGAUUGGUGCCUUCGGGAACUCUGAGACAGGUGCUGCAUGGCUGUCGUCAGCUCGUGUUGUGAAAUGUUGGGUUAAGUCCCGCAACGAGCGCAACCCUUAUCCUUGUUU
rnacentral:rRNA from 1 species